AGUGUAUGUUGCCACCUCUGACAUGGACUCUUCCAGACUCAGACAGUCAUGUGAUCCAAGGAGAGAAAAAAACCUGGCAACGUAAGCCGUGGAGGCUACGUCCAAAGCGGCAUACUACCGUACUAAGUAGUAUGCCUAACGCUAUGGAGACACACUGUUUAGUAUGGUAGCACAGCCCGCGUGUUUAAGCCCAGCCUCAAAAUUCUCAGAACUAAUUUGCUAUUCCGAGUCCAUUCGCUGCCGUGUUAAAACCUCAACAGCCAUAUCCACUAUACCCGAGUGUACACGGAGCUCCUAUUCACCCGGACCGAGGUGUUUCAGCCUGUCGCUAUACAUAUAUUUACUUUACUUUCUUUUUCUUUAUUUUUUUUUAGAAAUACUUUCGGUGCGGACUGCGGCUAAAGAAUGAGCAGGGCUUUAUUUGUGUUUUUGUUUUGAGCAGGAUUAGACAUUAUAUAUUUGACAAAAACUGAUCUUUUUUUUUCCGCUCACGUCUUGGAUCUUAUUAUACUGAAUCCGUGUGGUUUCUCUCUGCCUGCUUUUGUCCUUGUCGAGCUUUAUGUGUCAGAAACGUGCAUGGCAUUGCUGUAAGUAACGGGUUAAUAUGCUGGUGUACAUGUUAAAUGUGUGAAAGUUUUCUGUUUCAACAUAAUUUACCUUCUACAGCAACUAGAGGAAAUGUGUAUUGUUCAUCUGACUGCAUUAGUUUUUGCUCCUGUUGUGUUUAAUGACACUGUUUCCAUGUGAGCUGUGCAACAUUAACGCGACGAAUUAAAUUAAACCGCUGUGGAAAUAAUCCAGGUGUACUUUUAUUCACCACGUAAAUAGGUUUAAGUGUUGGUUGUACUCUUUAAUAUUUAAAAAAGUGUAUAUAUAUAUAUAUAUAUAUAUAUAUAUAUAUAUAUAUAUACAUAUAUGCCUUUUUGCUUUCUGACGAAAGUUUGUAAUAUUCAGCAGUUAAAGCCUUGUUUAUAUAUAUAUAUAUAUAUAUAUAUAUAUAUAUAUAUAUAUAUAUAUAUAUAUAUUAUUAUAGUCUUAUACUGUUACACAUUCAAAAUACGUGUAUGUAACACAUACACACAUAGAUCACUUCGCAUACUGAAUGCAACCAACUAAACAAAGUAAAAUGUACAGCCUGACUUGUACCAGACGUCUAAAGUGACACAGUGGCUGUGUCUUUAAGAGAAUCGCCCAACAACGAGGUAAAAUCUGCAGCCAUUUUGGUGUGAUUUUACUCUAAAGACAGUAAUACUUCCUCUCACACCGUGCACUGAGCAGGCAGUAAGUGACAGGUUAGCUCGUGCAGCCUGUAGGGUGAGUGUGUGUGUGUGUGUGAGAGAGAGCAACGUGUGUCAGCAACAGCAGCUGAUAAUGCAUGCAGGAAAACUUUUAGAAUAAUUGACGGGGGAGGGGGUGGAUUUUAAAAUCUUUUGGGCUUUUAAUCAGAGAAUUAAACUGAAUUCAUUUCCACUUGUUUCCACUUAGUGAUGGAGGAACUGGUUUUAAAGUGGCUGCAUGGAGAAACACCGUUGUUUAAGAAACACAGAUGAAAAAAGAACAGGUGGCCUGUUGGAGAAAGUGGCCUAACUGUGUCCAAACUAAACACGCUGUCCUGUGGGGUAAAGGGCAAGCACGUCUUAUCUGUAACACUGCUAAAGCAGUUACACUACAGACAGCUUUAGUUCACAUAGGGUGUUAAUGCAUAAUUCAGAUUCCUGGAGCUUCAUUAUUGUGUUUCAUGAAAAGAUACUACAUUUUCUUGCCAGCCCCAUUCUACAUGCAUCACUGUCACUGAACUGGAAAGGUCUAAACAAGUGUGCUAAGGCACAAAAUGUUCUAGAUAAACCUGGCCCAGCAUUUAACCCACAAUAGAGCAUGUUUAGCUUGGUGACCGAGUUGGGCGAGAUUCUGCCACACAACAGCAUGUUCACCUGUCCUUAUUUGAUUUGUGUUUCUGUAUUACUUAUCUAUGCAGUCAAUUUGAAAUAUGUCACCGAAAAAUGUAAUCGAUCUAAGUUGACUGUGAAUUUGAUUUGAUUUGAAUAUUUAGCUCUGUUCAGUUUGUAGAGUCUGUGGGAAAAGAGCACACCAUAUGCCUGCAUGCUUUCACAGCGCAGCGAGUGUGUGCUGUUUGGGCAGGCUUGCAUAUUUUUCAACCUGAGACCUGUUGCUGACAUGGCAGAGCAGCAACGUCUGAUAUGAACAGUAUGUCAUUUUUGCCCGUAGGUUUGCACGUAUUUGUGUAUGCAUGCACCGUGUGCUGCUACAGGUCCAUUUCAUGUAAUCCUCAGGCUGUGAGUAUUUUACAAAACAAGCUUUUUUUAUUUUAUUUUUUUUUACAUUUUCAGUAAUGAAAAGGCCUUGACCAAUGACAGCUUAUUUCCCCAAAUGUCCCAAAGUGCAGCUUGUUUAUGUACUUCUGUGUUUUGUACUUGUUUGCAUAGAAUUGAAUGUGAAUUUCUUAUCUUUGUUGUGUAAAUAUAACUUGUGCAAGUGCAAUAAAAAGAGAGAUUCAGUGCGUAA